rnacentral:rRNA from 1 species
UACGGAGGGUGCGAGCGUUGUCCGGAAUCACUGGGCGAAAGGGCGCGUAGGCGGCUCGUGAAGUCAGUGGUGAAAGCCCAGGGCUCAACUCUCGGGUCGGCCACUGAUACUCGCGAGCUCGAGUUUGGUAGAGGCAGAUGGAAUCCGGGUGGAGCGGUGAAAUGCGUAGAGAUCGGAAAGAACACCAACGGCGAAAGCAACUCUGCUGGGCCGACACUGACACUGACGAGACGAAAGCUAGGGG